UAAUAAAAUCUGGCCCUAUUAUUUUGCC
rnacentral:piRNA from 1 species